UACGGGGGGGGUAAGCGUUGUCCGGAUUUAUUGGGCGUAAAGAGCGUGUAGGCGGCUAGAUAGGUCCGUUGUGAAAACUCGAGGCUCAACCUCGAGACGCCGGUGGAAACCAUCUAGCUAGAGUCCGGAAGAGGAGAGUGGAAUUCCUGGUGUAGCGGUGAAAUGCGCAGAUAUCAGGAAGAACACCCGUGGCGAAGGCGGCUCUCUGGGACGUGACUGACGCUGAGACGCGAAAGCGUGGGGAGCGAACAGG
rnacentral:rRNA from 1 species